UACAGAGGGUGCGAGCGUUGUUCGGAAUUAUUGGGCGUAAAGGGCGCGUAGGCGGUGCGGUAAGUCACCUGUGAAAUCUCCUGGCUCAACUGGGAGCUUGCAGGCGAAACUGCCGUGCUGGAGUGUGGGAGAGGUGCGUGGAAUUCCUGGUGUAGCGGUGAAAUGCGUAGAUAUCAGGAGGAACACCUGUGGCGAAAGCGGCGCACUGGACCACAUCUGACGCUGAGGCGCGAAAGCUAGGGGAGCAAACAGG
rnacentral:rRNA from 1 species